CUGCAUGGCUGUCGUCAGCUCGUGUCGUGAGAUGUUCGGUUAAGUCCGGCAACGAGCGCAACCCACGUCUUUAGUUGCCAGCAUUCAGUUGGGCACUCUAAAGAAACUGCCGAUGAUAAGUCGGAGGAAGGUGCGGAUGACGUCAAGUCCUCAUGGCCCUUACGGGUUGGGCUACACACGUGCUACAAUGGUGGUGACAGUGGGUUAAUCCCCAAAAGCCAUCUCAGUUCGGAUUGGGGUCCGCAACUCGACCCCAUGAAGUUGGAAUCGCUAGUAAUCGCGGAACAGCACGCCGCGGUGAAUACGUU
rnacentral:rRNA from 1 species